rnacentral:tRNA from 1 species
GGAGUUGUAGCUUAGUGAUAGAGCAUGUGCUUAGCAUGUAGGCCCUGGGUUUGAUCCCCAGCACUGCCA